rnacentral:lncRNA from 1 species
AGUAGUGAUACAAUAAUAAUAUAGUAUAAGUACUUUUUGGAAAUAUUUGCAAGAGCAUUCAAGCAUCAGGUACUUGAUAGGACCAGAUCAGUAUCCUCAGUCCCAUUAAUGCUUCUGACAGGUAAACCAUCUAAUUUCCCUUUUGCAGAGUUGCAAAUCAUUGAAGGACAUAGAAAUGGAAGAAGAGACCAUACAUAAAGAUACAAGGGAAGGUACAAAAUUUAAAGGAACAAGUGAGAACUAUAACAAUAUUCAUUAAACUAAAUAGAUAGAUUAAAAGGAAAGCAACUGAAGACAGACUGUUCUAAGAACUAAGAGAAUGAAUCUGGCUGACGUGUGGAGAGAAGAGAUGGACCAAGAUACUGCAUUGUGUCAGCUAGAAAUUUUGAGCUCUGGCGAUCUCAGUAACAUUAUACAAAUUCUUCCUGAAAGGAAUGAGCUUAUCCUCAGAAACAUCCCAGAACCCUUCACCAGUGUGGAAAACGGAGUUGUUCUGCAAGAUAAGAUAAUUAAUUCGUCUUUGUGUCAGUGCAGCCUGCUUCAAGAGCUUCAUUCUGAACCACAAAAUGUACUUACCCAAGUACAACGUUUAAGUAACUAAUCUGCAUCAAUUGAUGUCCAUGGAAGACCUCACGAAUGUCUGUAUUCUCUUCAAAUUCCUGGUUGCUGAGUUUAUAUGUUAAUUCUGGCAGUGCCUUUGUGAAUUGACUCUUUGCAUGUGAGUGUUGCUGAAGGUGAAAUUCUCUUCUAUAAUCACAAAGAUACUGGUAGUGAAGAGACAAUUGCUUCAAAACCCUAUUUAGAUGAACAGUACUACAUUGGUGCAAAAUUUAAAAAAUUAUAAUAUAGGAGUCAAUAUCAUUUCCGGUAUGGCCCCAUUAAUGUCUUUCCAGAAUCAGUGAUGUAGUAGUGAGUAAUGCUUCAUCAUUUUAUAAAUAAAAC